CUACGGGCGGCAGCAGUGGGGAAUAUUGCGCAAUGGGCGAAAGCCUGACGCAGCAACGCCGCGUGGGUGAUGAAGGCCUUCGGGUCGUAAAGCCCUGUCAGAAGGGAAGAAAUGGUAGUUGGGGAAAUACUUCUACCUUGACGGUACCUUCAGAGGAAGCACCGGCUAAGUCCGUGCCAGCAGCCGCGGUAAUACGGGGGGUGCUAGCGUUGUUCGGAAUCACUGGGCGUAAAGCGCGUGUAGGCGGAUGAUUAAGUCAGAUGUGAAAUCCCACGGCUUAACCGUGGACGUGCAUUUGAAACUGGUCGUCUAGAGUGCGGAAGAGGGAAGGGGAAUUCCCGGUGUAGAGGUGAAAUUCGUAGAUAUCGGGAGGAAUACCAGUGGCGAAGGCGCCUUCCUGGGCCGACACUGACGCUGAGACGCGAAAGCGUGGGGAGCAAACAGGAUUAGAUACCCGCGUAGUC
rnacentral:rRNA from 1 species